UACAGAGGGUGCGAGCGUUAAUCGGAAUUACUGGGCGUAAAGCGUGCGUAGACGGUUAUUUAAGUCGGGUGUGAAAGCCCCGGGCUCAACCUGGGAAUUGCAUUCGAGACUGAAUAGCUAGGGUACGGUAGAGGGAAGCGGAAUUUCCGGUGUAGCGGUGAAAUGCGUAGAUAUACGGAGGAACACCUGCGGCGAAGGCGGGUAGCUGGGCCAACACUGACGCUGAUGCGCGAAAGCUAGGGGAGCAAACGGG
rnacentral:rRNA from 1 species